rnacentral:rRNA from 1 species
UACAGGGGGUGCAAACGUUGUUCGGAAUUACUGGGCGUAAAGGGCUCGUAGGCGGCCAACUAAGUCGGACGUGAAAUCCCUCGGCUUAACCGGGGAACUGCGUCCGAUACUGGAUGGCUUGAGUUUGGGAGAGGGAUGCGGAAUUCCAGGUGUAGCGGUGAAAUGCGUAGAUAUCUGGAGGAACACCGGUGGCGAAGGCGGCAUCCUGGACCAACACUGACGCUGAUGAGCGAAAGCCAGGGGAGCAAACGGG